GUUUGUUUUUUCUUUUCUGUUCUU
rnacentral:sRNA from 1 species